CGCGAUACACUCGGUGAGUUUUACUUCGGUACAUCGGUGACAGGUGGUGCAUGGUUGUCGUCAGCUCGUGUCGUGAGAUGUUGGGUUAAGUCCCGCAACGAGCGCAACCCCUAUUGUUAGUUGCCAUCAUUAAGUUGGGCACUCUAGCGAGACUGCCGGUAAUAAACCGGAGGAAGGUGGGGAUGACGUCAAAUCAUCAUGCCCCUUAUGACCUGGGCUACACACGUGCUACAAUGGUUGGUACAACGAGUCGCAAGCCGGUGACGGCAAGCUAAUCUCUUAAAGCCAAUCUCAGUUCGGAUUGUAGGCUGCAACUCGCCUACAUGAAGUCGGAAUCGCUAGUAAUCGCGGAUCAGCACGCCGCGGUGAAUACGUUCCCGGGCCUUGUACACACCG
rnacentral:rRNA from 1 species